rnacentral:tRNA from 1 species
GCCUUUGUGGUGUAGUGGUCAGCACGCUCGAAUGCGCAACUGAGAGGUCCGUGGUUCGAUUCCCGAUAAAGGCU